GCGCGCCCCGCCUCGCAUCCUUCGGAGCCGGCCGCUGUUCCCGGCGUCGCGCCCACCCCCUCCGCACCCGUCCGGCCUGACCCGAGCGCUCGCAGUUCAGGGCUCGGCGCCGCCGCCUGCCGCACUGCAGACGACCCUGGGCCAGGCGCCUCCGCCCCUUCCUGCCACUGCCCCUUUUGCUUCACCCGCGACGCCGGACUUGGGGCUCAGGACUCGGCGAGGAGGGAAGUACCCCCAAGAAGUGCCGGGGGAACGACGCCGCUGAAGUGAUGAGAUCCCCGUCCUGGAGGUGUGCAAGCGCGUGCGCGAACGAUUUGUUGUUCUCAACCUGAGCAAAACUGUUAAGAGGUGAAGGGUUGGAAAAGAGAAAGAAUGAGGACGGUCUUCCCCAGAGUCCCAGAAGCACAGUGCUGCGACUGGCUGGCUCGAGGAUUUCCUGGAACAGUAACCCUCCAGAGUGACAGCCCCUGGUUCAAGCUACCUGGAUGGAACAACUGAGGCUGAGAGAAAGGAAGCCACUUGCUCCAGUUCCCACAGCCAGAAACAAAUGUGCUUCCACUCUUCUCAUGCUUACCUGGAAGUGUGUAAGUAGUGGAUGCCAUGAAUUGCACCCUAAAUAAAAUCACAAUACCUAAGAAAUCAAAAGCAUUACACAGUUAACCUGCUUGCAGCAAGCUCUCAAAGAUUUCCAAUUAAUUGGGAUCGUAAAAUGGAGGAGGAAUGCUACCCGGGAUGCCACAGAGGACACAGGUAAUCCUCUGUAGGCUCUGUUCUCCAAAGCUUGGGUCAGCCCAAAGGAAUGGCUACUCAAGUAUCAGUCAUUCAUUACCUGCCUGAAGUAGACUAUUAUAACUAUUGUGGGUUUGGGGGUAGGGUCAGGGGUUUGCCAAGACAUCUUUUUUAUUGUGUAUUUUGUAUAUAUAUAACAUAAAAUUUACCAUUGUAAUCAUUGUAAAGGGUACAAUUCAGUGGCACUAAGUACAUCCACAAUGUUGUGUAACCAUCACCGCUAUGUAGUUCCAGAACUUUUUUAUCAGCCCAAAUGGAAACUUCUUACCUAUUAAGCAUUACUCCAUUCUACCCUGCCCCCAGCCCCUGGCAACCACUAAUCUGCUUUGUCUCUAUGGAUUUGCCUAUUCCAAAUAUCUUAUAUCAAUGGAAUCAUACAAUAUGUGGCCUUUUGUGUCUGGCUUCUUUCACUUAGCAUGUUUUCCAGGUUCAUCCAUGCCUUAACAUGUAGCAGUAUUUCAUUCCUUUUUAUAGCUAAAUAAUAUUCCACUGUAUGGCUAUAUCACAUUUUGUUUAUGCAUUCCUUUGUUGAUGGAUACUUGGGUUGUUUCCACCUUUCGAGUACUGUGACUAGAGCCACAAUGAACAUUCAUGCACAAGUUUUUGUUUGAACACCUGUUUUCAAUGUGGGGGAGUAUACACCCUACAAGGGCAAUUGCUGGGUUACAUGGUAAUUCUACGUCUAACUCUGAGAAAACACCAAACUAUUUCCCACACUGGCUGUACCAUUUUACAUGACCACCAGCAGUGGAAAGGAGUUCCAAUUUCUCCACGUCCUCACAAACACUUGUCUCUUUCUGUUUGUUAUGCCCAUCCUAGUGGGUGUGAAGUGAUAUUUCACUGCGGUUUUGGUUUGCAUUUCCCUAAUGACUAAUGAUGCUGAGCAUCUUCUCAUGUGGUUUUUGGCUAUUUCUGUCUCUUUGGAGAAAUGUCUACUUAAAUCCUUUGCCCAUUUUUAAAUUGGGUUAUCUUUUUGCUGUUGAAUUGUGAGAGUUCUUCAUUCCGAAUACUAGAUCCUCAUCAGAUGUAUGAUUUGCAAAUAUUUUCUCUCAUUCUGUUGGUUCUGUUUCACCCUCUUCAUAGUGUCUUUUGAUGCACAAAAGUUUUUAAAUUUGAUAAAGUCUAAUUUCUUUAUUUUUUCUUUUGUUGCUUGUGCUUUUAGUGCCUUAUUAAGAAACCAUUGACAAAUCUAAGGUCAUGAAGAGUUGUCCCUAUGUCUUCUUACAGGUGUAUAUUUUUACCUCUUAUAUAUUGUUUUUUGUUUCGUUUUGAGUUAAUUUUUGUAUAAGGUGUGAGAUAUUGGUCCGUGUAACUAUUAUUUUUUUAAAUCUGCUCAAAACGCUUUCCAAUUCUCCUGCUGCUGCUAACAGUAACCUUUUGCCUGAGAAAUCUUCCCUGAGUCCACAUAGCUCUAGUGGAGUGACUAUAAUAGCACAGCACCCACUCCGAGGACCUGGAGGUGGACGUGUAACCAAAAUUGAGCCAAUUAAGGUUUUCCCUGGAAUCAAAUGUUGAUGUUGGGAAAGAAACAGUUCUCUCUGCUGUGGUUUCUAGAAGAAAGAAAAUAUGAAUGUGGGGCUCCUGGAAGCCACUUUUCUGCUGCACAGAGAGAGCAAUUCUAUAGGAGGGCAACAAAGAGUAGCUGAAUCCAGAGAUGGAGCCAGAUCCCUGGCAACACUGUGGGAGCCCUUAGGUCCAGCCACAGACAAAGCCACAGAGUGCAAUGAAGCCCAAAGGCUGCCUGGUGAAGUCAGCUGUGCUGCUCUAUUUCCCAGUUACAAGAGCCAGUAAAUUUCUUACCUGACUCAUUUGAGUUAAAUUUCUGUCACCCGCUAAAAGUUAAAGGAUUUGUGUGGAAUCUUCCCUUAGAAAAAUUAGAGUCUCAUACAUUUCUUAAGGGCAGGCACAAAUUUGGCUGCAAACUUCCACGUAGCCAAUGCAAAUAUGGAAACACAACGAGUUACUGAAUUUCAUGUCCAUAAACUAAAAUAUCUCCCACAGAUGGUCAUAAAGAGUACACUAUGCAUGAUUCCAUGUGGCAGGAAUAUGAGUGGUCUUGCCUUCUAUUAUUUCCUACUCUCAUGUUUCCAAAAACAUCAAUAAAUAGAAAGGCCUUUGGGGGUGGGGGAGGAAUGGGAGGGUGAAGGACAGUGUGUAACACGGUAAGGUGUCCUGAACACCUUCCCUAAGGAAGUGGUUCUCAAAGUAUGAUCAGGCAACCAACCCCUAAAGACCCCAAGACCCUUUCAGGGUGUCCAUGAAGUCAAAACUAUUUUUGGAACAAUACUAAGACAUUAUUUACCUUUUUUGUUUUCAUUCUCUCAUGAGUGUACAGAGUUUUCCAGAGGCUACGUGGCAUGCGAUAUCACAAAAGACCAAAUGAAGAAGCAAAUAUCAGGAUCCAGCCAUCUUCUACUAAGCCAGCCAGAUUAGCCCUGGGCUAACAUCUGCUGCCAAUCCUCCUCUUUUUGCUGAGGAAGACUGGC